GCAAGCCAUUAGACACCAACAACUCCCAAUCACUCCACCACCGACACUCUUCUUCAUUUUCUACUUCAUCUCUUUCUUUGCAUUCCUUCAUUCUUCCAUCUCCAUCAUCAUCUUCUUCUUCUUCUUUUUCUCCUUCUCAUACUCUUCAUUCAUUCAUCUCCCAUCUAUCAUCACUUUGGGUUCAAAAUAUUUGAUCUAGGAUCAUUUCUCUGAAUUGACCGUGCACUAGAGUAGGUGAUGAUGUACCUCUGGAGCAGACAUUGGAAACCGAAGAAGAUCCAACACCUAGUUCUUAGACGAUGGUGUUGUUUUAUUUCUUUUAGCUGAUCUUGUUUGGCAAAACUUUGGACCUUUGUACUUUNAAUUCUUGUCGUUUUAAUUUCCCCUAUAUUUUGGAUAACUGUAACUUAUACUUAUACAGUUAUUUUCUACUCUCAACCUGCUUUUUAUUAUUAUAAUAUGUUGCAUUCCAUUUGAUAUGAUUUA